CUCUCUCUCUCUCUCUCUCUCUCUCUCCCCUUCCCUCUCUCUCUCUCUCUCUAUCCUUUUUGUGUGCAUGGGCUAACUUUUGAGGAGGGAAGAACUUAAUUUAAUCUCUAAUUUUUAAGAAAUGGAAGUGCAGAGGGGAGAGGUGAACCUCCUGCAGCAACCUUUCCUUCCCAAUGUAACCAAAACAAAAUGAAAGGGAGAUCAAGAAAUAAGUGCGACAAGAAAACUCCCGCCUCCUCGUUUGCUGCACUGCCACUGAGAUUAAGAUGUGAGAGAGAGAAGGGACGAUGGCAGUGGAACUACAGUGGAUGGAAAUAGGGGAUGAGUAAAGUGAGGGUUGCAAAGGAUGAAAGAGUGAUAUAUUUAUAUAUAUAAUUAAUAUUCACCACACGACAAUCCCCGAGGUUGGAGAAUAUGUGAGCUUUGAAUGCGACGGAUUGCACCUCUCAGUGCGCCCUAGGCCUCUCCUCUUCCUUGUAGCUAGGUGGUGAGGUGGUGGGCCUUUGAUUCCCCUGCCGUGCCACUUGCCCUUCUCUCUC
rnacentral:lncRNA from 1 species